AAUGGUCAUGUAAUAGAAGCCACUGCACGCACAGAAGAGAAGAUGGAGACCAGUUCUUACUAGAGGAGCGCAACAUUCAAUCUGUGUAUAACAUUUGAUGGCAGUGUCCUCCUAUUCAUCUAUGACAGACUGGGAUUUGGACCACAGUAACAAUGUCAUCAGGUUUUUGUGCAUCCACUGAUGUCUCUGUGGCUGUAAAACUUCUUGGUAUGCACUUCCAGGUCUGCAACUGUUCUUCCUGUUACAGUCCUGCUUGUCAGAGCCCUCUGGAGCAGAGAAAUAAAACAAUGGCAAGCAAAUGAGGAUGCUAGACUUCUAUGAAAAAAGAAGAAGGGAAAAAAAGAAUGGUAGCAGGAACUGAAGUUGUAGCGGAGCAGGAUCAGCAAUAGGAGCAGGAUCAGAUUCAGUUUCACUGCCACUGACCUUCACAGGAGCUACUACCAACAGUCAACUCAACAGGAACAGAGGGCUCUGUCCAGCUGACGGACCAAAGAGACAGCUCCCCCAGAGUCUCAACCCCCACAGUUCACUCUUACCUUCCCAACAUCAGCUGUCGUCAUCUCAUUGACCAACUACCAUAAGUCUAUCAUCAACCCUUCCCCUCCCUUCAUCUCCUCAUCUCUCAACCCUCAUCCCCUCAACCCUCCUUCCCAUGAACCUCUAUACCUUCAUCUCUCAUCCCCUCAUCCCUCGACCCUCAACCCUUCCUCCCUCCAUCCCUUCAUCCUUCUAUUCCAAAUAUCUUCCCCCAUCCCAUCCAUCAUUCAACAUCUCAGCUCUUUCAUUAUUAUCAAUUAAA